rnacentral:rRNA from 1 species
GUUCGGAUUGUAGUCUGCAACCCGACUACAUGAAGCUGGAAUCGCUAGUAAUCGCGGAUCAGAAUGCCGCGGUGAAUACGUUCCCGGGUCUUGUACACACCGCCCGUCACACCAUGGGAGUCGGAAAUGCCCGAAGUCUGUGACCCAACCUACGGGAGGGAGCAGCCGAAGGCAGGUCGGAUGACUGGGGUGAAGUCGUAACAAGGUAGC